rnacentral:lncRNA from 1 species
CACGGUAAGGAGGAGGGCAGGAGGGGGCAGGCAGGGUGGAGGCCACACUUGAAACCAAGCAACUCAGACCCAGGGGCAUGUGGCCCCCACCAGGGGCUCAGAGUGAAGAGGGGGGUCACCCAUCUGCCUCACAAGACACGCCGUGCCUCUGGGAAGGACCACGGCAGGGCCACGUGGGGAAGGAGAGCUGGGCUCCCUGAAAACCCCAUGUUGUUGGGAAGAGCCCUGCCCUUUGCUACCGGUCUCAUCAGUGGGCCAUUCGAGUCCCCUCAGUCCCCAGCGCUCCUGGCUAGCGGUCAUCUCCCAAACCAUCUCUCCUUCAGGUCAAGAGAAAGGGUGCCUGAAGCCGGCUCUGACGUGGAGCCAGGAGCUUCCAGCCUGCUGUGGGCCUGGGGUGACUCUCCUCUUUCCAUUCCUCCCAGUGCUUCUGAGGAGCUGCUCCCAUCUCUCUCCUCAUCCUCGGCUCUCCCCCAUGGGCAGGCACCCCUGCCCACUCCUGACUGCCAUCUCCCUAGCCCAGGGGGGACCCCAGCCUGCCUGAGCUGACCCAACCAAUAAAAACCGCCUGUUCUGCCCGGAUGCUGCCUCGCGAGUGUCUAGCGAGCUCUCGGUUCACCUCUGUACUCCCAUGAGACUCCAGCCAGGGUGGAAACCAGAGGCACUCGAGGACAGUGCAGUCCCCUUGGCUCAGAGGGGUGCUCAGACGGAGAGCCCACCUACACAGGUGCGGCCACCUGCCAAGUGGUCCUGUCCCUAGGCCAGCAAAGCUCAGUGACCCAGGUGUCUGCCUUGCUCCUUCACACUGUCUCCCUGAGAACAAUGCUGGGCCUCCUUCGUCACCGUGUGAUGCCUCCAGGUGAGAAAAGUCACGGACUUGGAACUCUCUCCUCAGUAGCACAUGCAUCUUCCAGGUGAAGAAACAACCCUGGUUGUAAACUGCACUGCAGUGAGUUAAAUGGGUUUGAAAAUGUCUGCUGAGCCCUCUCGGGAGGACAGAAGAUACGGGUUCCUAAACCCGAGGAUCAGCCCGAUGGCCACCUCUAGAAAUCCCUCCCAAGCUCUUUAUUGCAUCAUUGUCACCAGGGGGACGCAAUGCAUGGUCCUCAGGAUGGCAGGAAAGGUCCACUGCGGUCCUCCACCUCCUUAGUCUGUACUCACCCUCACUCCCAUCGCCCUGGCCCCUGAGCCCCUGGCUUGGAGGCCAUUUUGCAGCCGUCUCUCUUUGGAGGGACAUAGGUGUCCCCCCCCCUCAGGCAUCCUUGAAGACUUAGUGCUGAUGCCUUCCUCCAAGAAGCAUCCUUGCCUCUACCCUCAUCCCUUCAGGGCUGGAUGAAAUGCAGGCUGUAGUUUGUAUGCCCUCCUUCUUCCUGUCACUGACCCCGCUUGGUGGAAACCACCUCUAUACCAUCUACAGCCCCACUUGAAGAUGGCAGAAUUGUGUGUUGAGAUAACACCCUUGGGAUAUGGCAUCGGACCUUGGCUCAGUGUUGAGCCCAACAAGAUCUCCUGGAGGAAAUGAAUGAAUCAAUGAGUGAACCCCAAAUGACCCAAUUCCAGAGCAGAUGUCACCCUAAGGCCUGCCUGAAAUAGCCACCUGCCCUUCCACUCACAGGCCUAAAACACACCGCUGUCUCUCUGUUGCAACACACACAUGCAUUCUGACAUGUGUGCCUACAUACCCACACACAUGCAUGCAUGCAUGUGCACAGUCCCCACUCA